rnacentral:rRNA from 1 species
GGAUGAACGCUAGCGGCAGGCUUAAUACAUGCAAGUCGAGGGGUAGCAGGGUGUAGUAAUACAUUGCUGACGACCGGCAAACGGGUGCGGAACACGUACACAACCUUCCUUUAAGCGGGGAAUAGCCCAGAGAAAUUUGGAUUAAUACCCCAUAGAAUAGUUNGAUGGCAUCAUUAGAUUAUUAAAGAUUUAUCACUUAAAGAUGGGUGUGCGUAUGAUUAGGUAGUUGGCGGGGUAACGGCCCACCAAGCCUACGAUCAUUAGCUGAUGUGAGAGCAUGAUCAGCCACACGGGCACUGAGACACGGGCCCGACUCCUACGGGAGGCAGCAGUAAGGAAUAUUGGUCAAUGGACGCAAGUCUGAACCAGCCAUGCCGCGUGAAGGAUGAAGGUCCUCUGGAUUGUAAACUUCUUUUAUUUGGGACGAAACGCCUGUUUUCUAACGGG